rnacentral:rRNA from 1 species
AUAACGGAAUAAGUUCGACUGGUCAUUGGCCUAUAUGCGGCGAUUGACGAGGGACUUGUCGAUUUAAAAUCUGGCUCUUUCAGAGUCCGAGUUGCUGUUUUAGAGGGCGCUUUGGCUUUGCAAGCGGUCCCGGUUCCUUGGAACAGGACGUCUCAUAGGGUGAGAAUCCCGUACGUGGUCGCUAGCGAUUGCCGUGCUUGCCCCUUCCACGAUCCGAGCUGUUUGGGAAUGCGCCUCUAAUUGGGAGGUAAAUUUCUUCUAAAGCUAAAUAUUGCUCGGACACCGAUUCCGCACAGGUCGAUUGAUCCCAUUAUGACAAGCACUUUGCAAAUACACGGACCUCAGUCCAGAAAUUGUUGAUGACGAAGCGCUUGCAGCCAGACUUGCUUGGAUGUGCUCAUCCGGGCUUUUGCCCGGUGCACUCUUCUGCGAUGCUGCCAGCAUCUGUUUGGGCGGUGGCAUAAAGGUCUCUGGACGUACCAUCCUUCGGGAUGGGCAUAUAGGGGAUACCUCUUACCACCAUCCUGGACUGAGGUGCCCCCCUCUGCUAGGAUGCUGGCGUAAUGGCUGUAAGCGGCCCGUCUUGAUCACGGACCAAGGAGUCUAACAUCUAUGCGAGUGUUUGGGUGUCAAGCCCGAGCGCGUAAUGAAAGUGAACGGAGGUGGGAAACCCGCAAGGGUGCACCAUCGACCGAUCCUGAAGUUUACGGAAGGAUUUGAGUAAGAGCAUGGCUGUUGGGACCCGAAAGAUGGUGAACUAUGCUUGAAUAGGUGAAACCAGAGGAAACUCUGGUGGAGGCUCGCAGCGGUUCUGACGUGCAAAUCGAUCG